rnacentral:misc_RNA from 1 species
GUCCGUAAAGGUGGAUGAGUGGUGUUUGGUUUGUCACGUGUGGUUGGCUGCGGCGUUUGCAACAACUUCCAUGCUUUCAGACCUCUUCAGUUGUGCGGCAAGGCUUGUAUCGCCUUGUCGUAUUGCGGGUUUUCUGUGUUGUAUACCUAAUCAAUGGUAUCGGUUGGAUUGAUCAAUGUUUCAUUUCGUCUCUUGUCGCAUUCGCGGCGUGAGACGAACCUCGAUGCGGUCUCUUUGGCCCACCUCGUCGAAGCACAUGCUUUGACGUUGUGGCACAUUGAGCAUUGCUUGGUCUCUUGUAUACGGAACAUAUAGUGGGCAUGGAUCUAACGAUUCUUGUUUGCCCUCAUGUUAGCGUAACGCUUCUCUUACACGACUUGCUCCACGUUUUAGCUCGUACGGACGUGGU